UACGUAGGGUGCGAGCGUUGUCCGGAUUUAUUGGGCGUAAAGAGCUCGUAGGCGGUUUGUCGCGUCGGCCGUGAAAUCUCCACGCUUAACGUGGAGCGUGCGGUCGAUACGGGGCAGACUUGAGUUCGGUAGGGGAGACUGGAAUUCCUGGUGUAGCGGUGAAAUGCGCAGAGUAUCAGGAGGAACACCGGUGGCGAAGGCGGGUCUCUGGGCCGAUACUGACGCUGAGGAGCGAAAGCGUGGGGGAGCGAACAGG
rnacentral:rRNA from 1 species